AGUGAACGCUGGCGGUAGGCCUAACACAUGCAAGUCGAACGGCAGCACAGUAAGAGCUUGCUCUUACGGGUGGCGAGUGGCGGACGGGUGAGGAAUACAUCGGAAUCUACUUUUUCGUGGGGGAUAACGUAGGGAAACUUACGCUAAUACCGCAUACGACCUACGGGUGAAAGCAGGGGAUCUUCGGACCUUGCGCGAUUGAAUGAGCCGAUGUCGGAUUAGCUAGUUGGCGGGGUAAAGGCCCACCAAGGCGACGAUCCGUAGCUGGUCUGAGAGGAUGAGCAGCGACACUGGAACUGAGACACGGUCCAGACUCAUACGGGAGGCAGCAGUGGGGAAUAUUGGACAAUGGGCGCAAGCCUGAUCCAGCCAUAACGAGUGGGUGAAGAAGGCCUUCGGGUUGUAAAGCCCUUUUGUUGGGAAAGAAAAGCAGCAGGUUAAUACCCCGCUGUUCUGACGGUACCCAAAGAAUAAGCACCGGCUAACUUCGU
rnacentral:rRNA from 1 species